rnacentral:rRNA from 1 species
GAUCAUGGCUCAGGAUGAACGCUGGCGGCGUGCUUAACACAUGCAAGUCGAGGGGCAGCAUGGUCUUAGCUUGCUAAGACUGAUGGCGACCGGCGCACGGGUGAGUAACACGUAUCCAACCUGCCGUCUACUCUUGGACAGCCUUCUGAAAGGAAGAUUAAUACAAGAUGGCAUCAUGAGUCCGCAUGUUCACAUGAUUAAAGGUAUUCCGGUAGACGAUGGGG